rnacentral:lncRNA from 1 species
GUGUUGGUUCUGGAGAGCAGGGACUGCCUGUCCAUCCUGCCCGUGGCCCCUGCAGGGUUGGGUGACCUCCUGCUGGACACGGACAGAGCCAGGACGUUGCUGUUGUUGUCUGUGCCACGGUGAGAUCAAGGUUCUAUUUCAGAGGCUGCAGGAGGGAGGAGGUGAACCCUGAGCUGCCUCGUGGCUGCUGCAGUAGCUGCAGUGCUGGAGGAUUCUUUGCCUUGAAUGGAUAGGUACAGUUCCCUGAAAUCUGCAUUUCUGAGCUCUGAAAUUCAGACCUGGGAUGACUUUUCUGGCCCUGUGACUCCCAGCACUCCCAGCACACUGUGAUGCCACCCAAGCAGAUUAGCUGUAAGACCUUAAGACAAAAGAGCAGCUAGGCACUCCACACUGCACACUGCUGAGAAUGGCUGCCCUGAAGACCCUUCUGGCCCUGGCCAUCGUCUCGUCCCUGGCUGGAGGAGAUGAAGGUGGAAGCUCUUGCAGGAGCCGGCCCCGCUGCCACGAGAGGGCUCUGCUCUGUCAGCGCAGCAGAGACGAGUUUCAGUUCCCAGGUUUGUCCAGCCCCAUCAAAACCAAGGAUUCGUCAUUUCAGGCAGGAACGGGAUCUUCAGGUAAAGCGCUGAAAUGCCACAAAUGUGUCGCAUCCAGCGAGAACGACUGCAACCAGCAGGGAUCGCACAGCUGCCCGCAGUUCGCCGAUGCCUGCUCCACCAUCACCGCGCCCAGUAAGAGACUGGGCUGGGGGCCCGGGGGGACUGGGGGGGCUGGGGGAAGCGGGGUAGGACCGUCGGGUC